AACGAACGCUGGCGGCAGGCCUAACACAUGCAAGUCGAACGCCCCGCAAGGGGAGUGGCAGACGGGUGAGUAACACGUGGGAACCUUCCCUAUAGUACGGAAUAGCCCAGGGAAACUUGGAGUAAUACCGUAUACGCCCGAAAGGGGAAAGAAUUUCGCUAUAGGAUGGGCCCGCGUAGGAUUAGCUAGUUGGUGAGGUAAUGGCUCACCAAGGCGACGAUCCUUAGCUGGUUUGAGAGAACGACCAGCCACACUGGGACUGAGACACGGCCCAGACUCCUACGGGAGGCAGCAGUGGGGAAUAUUGGACAAUGGGCGCAAGCCUGAUCCAGCCAUGCCGCGUGAGUGAUGAAGGCCUUAGGGUUGUAAAGCUCUUUUGGCGGGGACGGUAAUGACGGUACCCGCAGAAUAAGUCCCGGCUAACUUCGU
rnacentral:rRNA from 1 species